GGUCCUGCAGGGAAAUCAAGUUCACUGGCAAAACCCUGAACCAUGUUGUGGAAUGCUGUUGGGGUUACAUGAAAAAGCCAACCCCGUCUGGUGCGCUGGGACAGCUGGAACUCCUUAAAUUAAUCUUUUUUGCUUUCUGCCAGAAAAAUACCGGUGGAGUGACGCCGAUUUCUUUGUGCGACGACGAGCUCCCACCGGCACCCGUUUGAAAAACCUCUUGUGAACCUGGUUUCCAGAAAAACAAGGCUUUUGAGGCUCUGCCUUGGACUUCUCUCUAAGGGACAGCGAUGAUUCACCUGGCCAUGCCCUCAGCACCCACAGACGUAAAUGCCCUUUCUGUUGAAGCGCUGGGCUCUGACGCCAGGAUGGAAAUGAUUCACUUGCAUGGUCUGAGCUGGGCUGGGUGAGCCUGGGCCAGCCCUGCAUGAACACCAGCACCUGCGUGCCUUGAAGCAUCACAGAGAGCUGGGCACAGCACGAAACCUGCCCUCCACUUUCCCGGAGAUGAGCAUUUGGCCAUUCCAGCAUCCAGCUCGCAGGUUGGCCCUGGGAACCCUCCAAAA